AACGAACGCUGGCGGCAGGCUUAACACAUGCAAGUCGAGCGCCCCGCAAGGGGAGCGGCAGACGGGUGAGUAACGCGUGGGAAUCUACCCAUCUCUACGGAAUAACGCAUGGAAACGUGUGCUAAUACCGUAUACGUCCUUCGGGAGAAAGAUUUAUCGGAGAUGGAUGGGCCCGCGUUGGAUUAGCUAGUCGGUGGGGUAAAGGCCUACCAAGGCGACGAUCCAUAGCUGGUCUGAGAGGAUGAUCAGCCACACUGGGACUGAGACACGGCCCAGACUCCUACGGGAGGCAGCAGUGGGGAAUAUUGGACAAUGGGCGCAAGCCUGAUCCAGCCAUGCCGCGUGAGUGAUGAAGGCCCUAGGGUUGAAAAGCUCUUUCACCGGUGAAGAUAAUGACGGUAACCGGAGAAGAAGCCCCGGCUAACUUCGUGCCAGCAGCCGCAGUAAUAC
rnacentral:rRNA from 1 species